rnacentral:rRNA from 1 species
AUGAACGCUGGCGGCGUGCUUAACACCUGCAAGUCGAACGGAAAGGCUCCUGCUUGCAGGGGUACUCGAGUGGCGAACGGGUGAGUAACACGUGGGUGAUCUGCCCUGCACUUCGGGAUAAGCCUGGGAAACUGGGUCUAAUACCGGAUAGGACGAUGGUUUGGAUGCCAUUGUGGAAAGUUUUUCGGUGUGGGAUGAGCUCGCGGCCUAUCAGCUUGUUGGUGGGGUAAUGGCCUACCAAGGCGUCGACGGGUAGCCGGCCUGAGAGGGUGUACGGCCACAUUGGGACUGAGAUACGGCCCAGACUCCUACGGGAGGCAGCAGUGGGGAAUAUUGCACAAUGGGCGCAAGCCUGAUGCAGCGACGCCGCGUGGGGGAUGACGGCCUUCGGGUUGUAAACUCCUUUCGCUAGGGACGAAGCGUUUUGUGACGGUACCUGGAGAAGAAGCACCGGCUAACUACGUG